UGCUCUCCUGUUGUACCAACAGUCAG
rnacentral:piRNA from 2 species